rnacentral:lncRNA from 1 species
GUGUGUGAGUGUUGCUCUGCAGAUGAGAUAACGCUAGCCCUUAUCCGUCCACGAGGUUGUUAGCCAUGCACAGCCCUCGCUGGUGUUGACAUUUCCCUGCCCAACCUGUCUGAACACAUAGGGCCAUGGAGGCUCCUCUCAGGCUGUCUGUUUCCAUGGCAGAUAAAGAGCUCUUG